GUCCCUAAACGCGCUUCGAGCCGGUGUCAACCAUGGUGUCAACUCACGUCAAGGACUCAAGGUGCCCAUGCUGCGAGUGCAGUCGCAACACUUUGGCGUUGGAUCCGAGCCCAUGGAGAAAGUUGGAGCUGUAUGUUCUUGGACCAAGUCACCAAUUCCAUUGCUCUUCCUAUGCCAAGUGGCCAGCAUAUUGGUUGGAAUUGCUACAAUAAAGGUUAUGAUCGACA
rnacentral:lncRNA from 1 species